UAAAGCGAAUUAGAGCGCAGGGUGGAUGCCUUGGCACUGAGAGCCGAUGAAAGACGUGAUAAGCUGCGAUAAGCCACGGUUAGGAGCAAAUAUCCAUUUACCCGUGGAUUUCUGAAUGGGGAAACCCGGCUGGCGAAGAGUCAGUCACUGUGCACUGAAUACAUAGGUGUACAGAGGGAACCUCCUGAACUGAAACAUCUAAGUAGGGAGAGGAAGAGAAAGAAACAUCGAUUUCCUAAGUAGCGGCGAGCGAACGGGAAAGAGCCCAAACCAGAGUGCGUGCAUUCUGGGGUUCGGACUGUCACAAUGGUAAGCUAGUAUAGAAGAAUGGUCUGGAAAGUCCAUCCACAGAGGGUGAGAGGCCCGUAUUCGAAAUACGAUGCUUAUUAGACAGGAUCCAGAGUAGGUCGAGACACGUGGAACCUUGACUGAAUGAGCGGAGACCACUCCGUAAGGCUAAAUACUACUCAGUGACCGAUAGCGCAUAGUACUGUGAAGGAAAGGUGAAAAGGACCCCGGGAGGGGAGUGAAAGAGAACCUGAAACCCUGUGUUUACAAGCUGUGGAACAUCAAUGUAUACAUGAUGAACCGCGUACUUUUUGUAGAACGGUCCGGCGAGUUACCAUGUGUGGCGAGGUUAAGUUCUAAAGGAACGGAGCCGAAGUGAAAGCAAGCGUUAAUAGCGCGAUCUAGUCGCCCAUGGUAGACCCGAAACCGGGUGACCUACCCAUGUCCAGGAUGAAGUUGCCGUAAAAGGCAAUGGAGGUCCGAACACACAUCCGUUGAAAAGGGUGGUGAUGAGGUGUGGGUAGCGGAGAAAUUCCAAUCGAACCCGGAGAUAGCUGGUUCUCCUCGAAAUAGCUUUAGGGCUAGCCUCAGGUUAAAGUCUUGCGGAGGUAGAGCACUGAAUAUCUGCGGGGGCGUCAAAGCCUACCAAUGAUUAUCAAACUCCGAAUGCCGUGUAGAUGAUACCUGGGAGUCAGACUAUCCGAGAUAAGUUGGGUGGUCAAAAGGGAAAGAGCCCAGAUCUACAGCUAAGGUCCCAAAGUACGUGUUAAGUGGAAAAGGAUGUGGGAUUUCAUAGACAACUAGGAUGUUGGCUCAGAAGCAGCCACACAUUCAAAGAGUGCGUAAUAGCUCACUAGUCGAGAGGUCCUGCGCCGAAAAUGUCCGGGGCUAAAACACGACACCGAAGCUUAGGGAUCAACCCCGUGUUGAUCGGUAGAGGAGCAUUGUCACAGAGUCGAAGCUGUACUGUAAGGAGCAGUGGAUUUGUGAGAAGAGAGAAUGCCGGAAUGAGUAGCGAGAUUUAAGUAAGAAUCUUAAAGGCCGAAUAUCUAAGGUUUCCAGGGUAAAGCUGAUCUUCCCUGGGUAAGUCGGGGCCUAAGGCGAGGGCGAAAGCCGUAGUCGAUGGAUAACAGGUUGAAAUUCCUGUACCGCUGUAUAUCAGAACUGUGGGGACGCAGACAGAGAGCGUGACCCGGGAAUGGAAAGACCGGGACAAGCGAGGUAGGAGUAUGAUAGGCAAAUCCGUCAUACAAUCUGAAGACGUGAUGUGGACCGAACUAUUAGUAGGGAAGCACGUGAGCUGGCUGCCGAGAAAAGCCGCUAUUGCGUAUACAGCGCCCGUACCGUAAACCGACACAGGUGGAUGAGGAGAGAAUCCUAAGGCCGGCGGGAGAAGUGUUGUUAAGGAACUCGGCAAAAUGAACCCGUAACUUCGGGAGAAGGGUUGCCUGCGAGAGCAGGCCGCAGAGAAAUGGCCCAAGCAACUGUUUAGCAAAAACAUAGGUCUAUGCGAAACCGAAAGGUGAAGUAUAUGGGCUGACGCCUGCCCGGUGCUGGAAGGUUAAGAGGAGGGGUUAGACUUCGGUCGAAGCUCUGAAUUUAAGCCCCAGUAAACGGCGGCCGUAACUAUAACGGUCCUAAGGUAGCGAAAUUCCUUGUCGGGUAAGUUCCGACCCGCACGAAAGGCGUAAUGAUUUGGGCACUGUCUCAACAACACACCCGGUGAAAUUGAAGUACCAGUGAAGAUGCUGGUUACCUGCGCCAGGACGGAAAGACCCCAUGGAGCUUUACUCCAGCUUGAUACUGGGAUUCGGUACUAUCUGCACAGGAUAGGUGGGAGACUUAGAAACGUAGUCCUUGGGUUACGUGGAGUCGUUGUUGGGAUACCACCCUUAUAGUAUUGGGUUUCUAACCCAUAGCCGUUAUCCGGCGUGGGGACAAUGUCUGGCGGGGAGUUUGACUGGGGCGGUCGCCUCCGAAAGGGUAUCGGAGGCGCUCAAAGGUUCCCUCAGAAUGGUUGGAAACCAUUCGAAGAGUGCAAAGGCAGAAGGGAGCUUGACUGCGAGGGCGACGGUCCGAGCAGAUACGAAAGUAGGACUUAGUGAUCCGGUGGUAUAAAGUGGGAUUGCCAUCGCUCAACGGAUAAAAGCUACCCUGGGGAUAACAGGCUUAUCACUCCCAAGAGUUCACAUCGACGGAGUGGUUUGGCACCUCGAUGUCGGCUCAUCGCAUCCUGGAGCUGUAGCAGGUUCCAAGGGUUGGGCUGUUCGCCCAUUAAAGCGGUACGCGAGCUGGGUUCAGAACGUCGUGAGACAGUUCGGUCCCUAUCCGGCGUGGGCGUAAGAUAUUUGAGAGGAGCUGUCCUUAGUACGAGAGGACCGGGAUGGACGGACCGCUGGUGUACCAGUUGUAUUACCAAGUGCAUAGCUGGGUAGCCAAGUCUGGAAAGGAUAAACGCUGAAGGCAUCUAAGCGUGAAGCCAACCUCAAGAUGAGAUAUCUCUUAAGACCCCUCGAAGACUACGAGGUUGAUAGGCUCUGGGUGUAAGCAUGGUAACAUGUUAAGCUGAGGAGUACUAAUAGGUCGUGAGCUUUUCCU
rnacentral:rRNA from 1 species